rnacentral:lncRNA from 1 species
GUCGUGUCUGAGAGAAAACCGUCUCCCCUCCACUCAGGCUUCAGCCCCGACCCCACGCUAACUGGGCCAGGGCAGGGGCUGGGCUGGGAGGGGACCCAGUGAGCUCAGGGCUGGAGGAAACGGUCCCUGCUUUGAAGUGGCUCCGGCACCGGCCUCUCCCACCACCCUGUCAUGAGAAGCAAAGAACAUGGAAAGCAGAAUUCCUGGGGGUGGCCUCAACCCCAAGCCCUGCCGAUGCAAACCGGCACCUUGAAGAUGCCUUUGGAAUUUAACUGGAAGAUUUGAAUGACAUGGGCAGACACAGAAGAGGGAGAAGCAUUCCACAGGGGAGGAAAGGCCUCAGUGGGGACCUAUGGAGCUCCCAGGCCCACCGCAGGGAGGCAGGUCCUCGGUCAUCUGCGGAGGGAGAACACUUUCAGUCGAAGGAGCCUGGGACCCUUGACACAGAAGUGACAUGUGCAUUCGGAACCUCUCUGUGGAAAACACAGACCCUUCAUGACACGCAAACUCGAAGCCGAUGCAAUAACCACCUUCGGAGACCAGACCCCUCAAAGAGCACUCAGCCCACAAUGUGACGCAGAGAAACCAGAGACCCAGGCAGGGAGUGCACCCACGGGGACACUCCGAGGGUGGCCUCCUGCCUGCCCUGAUUACUUAAAAAGGAGAUUCUUGGAAACCUUUGCGGGCCCACAGGUGCACCCUGACUCCCAGGGAUGGGGGCUGAGCCACCCAGGAAACAAAUAUGAAAUCAAAGAUCCAGACAGCCCUGACCCUCCUGAUUCCAGGGUCCAUAAAUAAGUCAUUCUUAAAA